GACUGCUUACAGACCAGGGAACUGAAUUUAAGAACCAGGUAAAACCCUCAAGACCAAUGUUUCUUAUUUCUUAAGAAUCAACACUGUAAUGCUAACUUGUUUUCUGAUUAAUGGAAUAAGGUGAAUGCUCGACUUUGUCAAGCCCUGGGGAUUAAAAUAAGUUUCUCGUCACCAUACCACCCUCAGACAAAUGGGCUAGUGGAGAAGCUUAAUGGCACCAUACAGAGGUCUCUCAGAAAACUGGCGGAGGACAACCCUAAACAAUGGGAUAAGUUUCUCCAGCCAGCAAUGUUCGCGCUGCGGACCAAAAAGCAGCUGACAACGCAGUUCAGCCCGUAUUUUUUUAUUGUUCGGCAGAGAGGCCAAAUACCCAUCUGAGGUGCCACAGAAGUACGAGGUGACCACUAAGAAAGUGGAGCAAAUGGUACUAACGGAGGAGGUCUACCGCGGCCUCGAUAAGCAAGAAGACACCUUUAAGGUUGUCAAUAAGAACGUUGCGAAGAAACAAGAGGCCGUCCGAAAACGGAAGAUAAAGAAGGGGGAGGUGGCCGUAUUCACUAUUGGUGAUCAGGUCCUAAUAAAAAAUGUGAAGGAGCCGGAGAGAAAAGGGGGGAAGAUGGAGAGCACCUUCCUUGGCCCUUUGGUGGUUCUUCAGGUGAGGGGGAAAUUUGCCACGCUGGCCUCCCUUAAUUCCCCCAGGAAAACGGUGGCCAAUGUUGACAUUUUGACUCACUUCAUUGAGCCAGAGGAGAGGAUUCCAGCAAAACUGAAGAAAGUUGGCACCUCUCCUCUGGCUUCCCCUUCCCCACCACCACCACCAUCCAGCCCUGACCCUCCGCUGGGGACAUUACCAGGGGAGAGGCAGCCCAGCCAAAGUAACAGUACAUUCAGUUAUGUGACAUUGUAUAGUAUAAUAAUGAUAUCCAGUCUUUUCAAUUACUAUGUUUUUAAUUUACAGUUCUUGAACGAAUCUGGAGAGGGAAGCAAGAAGAAAUAAUAUGGUCCAAAAUUGGACCAUAUAACAUUUUUACAGCCGACCUCCAGAGCCUGGCCCCCGGGAAGGAGCUGGAGAGUGAGAUUGUCAACGCCUACAUAUCGUCGGUGUUGACAAUUUCGUCACAAAAGUGCAAGGUCAUCGACACAUUCCAGAUGACUGCCAUGUGGGAUGGCACGUCGCGGGGGAUGAGGAAGGUAAGGACCAUAGUUGCUUUUUGAAAGGAAUUGAUUAACGAUAAAACCAUCUUAAUAACUCGACUCAUCUCUUACAGCUGGACGUCAUGGAGUGGGACGUCCUGACCGGGGCCGUCUGCAAGGACGCACAUUGGACAUUAGUUGUAACUACACUUUAAUUAAUGCAAUUUAAGUAGAUAUAUUUUCUACUCUAAGAUUACACUAACAUAUCCGAUCUGUAAAAGGCCAUGUAUCCAAAAGAAGGACGGGCUGUUUUCAUUGACCCCUUCGGUGCCACCCCCGCUAAAAUUCAGAAAUGCAAAGAUUCAACGAGGGCUUUCAUGCGGAAAAAAAUGGUGAAUCUGUCACGGUGGCUGUGCGCCACAAUUCCCCAUCCCCGCCAGCAGGACCUUACCUCCUGUGGCAUUAUUGUUUGCAAAGUAAGAUUAUGAACACGAUAACAAUUAUACAUCUAUUAAAAGGAC